CGCUAAUCUAGGAAAAAAAAUGUAUGGGUAAUGGAUGCCCUUGAUUCAGUCUAGGGUGGCCUCGGCCACUCCUGGCCACCCCCUAGAUCCGCCACUGUCUGCGGACCCAUUGAUAUGGAGCUAAAGGCUUAAGGCCGAAUACUACUUCUGCAUUGGUACAUUUCCGAGGCAUGGCUAUGUAACGUUGCAUAGGUCUCCAUGUCACCGGCGUAGCUAGCAGAGCCCAUCUCCGUAGAUUAGCCUAGCUUCGGCUACUGUGCUUCAUUUUCCGGUUCAUUUGAGAAAGAUAAGGAGGAUUUGCCUCUACGGUCAUUACGACAUCAUCUCCUCAUUAAAAAACAUCUGAAAAAGCGACUUAUGGUGAACCAUGCUCAGAAUCACUGACACGGAUCCCUGAAGAUAAACAGGCAGCGGUGCUGCUGAGGUCCAGAUAGGAACAGGAACCCACUCCACCUCACCCUGGGUGACCUCACACUGCCUGCUCUCAAGCUGCUGAACCCACACAACUCCGUCCAUGGUGGAGUUCUGCAUAUGUAUUGAAAUGUAAGGCAGACCACUCCAGCUGCUCUCUGACAGCAUCCAGGGAGAUUCAGGAGGAAAGCUAGAAGAUCUUUUCUUUUGUUCUAGGAUCAAACCAUAAUGAACAUUUGCAAAGCUCUUUUCCGAACUUUAUUUUGUGUUUCAAUAAAGCCUGCAGUGGAACUCCAGUUGCACUUAUGCUUUAGUCAACAAGGAUGCCCUCACAAUAUUUAGCAGAAAAUGUGUAUAAGGGGAAGUAAUGACUCUUCUGUAAGGGAAAGUAAAGUGCAAUGAAU
ensembl:lncRNA